UACGGGGGGGGCAAGCGUUGUUCGGAAUUACUGGGCGUAAAGGGUGCGUAGGCGGCUUUUUAAGUCGGAUGUGAAAACUCUGGGCUCAACCCAGAGACUGCAUCCGAAACUGGAGAGCUAGGGUUCUGGAGGGGAAAGCGGAAUUCCUGGUGUAGCAGUGAAAUGCGUAGAUAUCGGGGAGGAACACCAGUGGCGAAGGCGACUUCCUGGCCUGUUCUUGACGCUGAGGCGCGAAAGCUAGGGUAGCAAACGGG
rnacentral:rRNA from 1 species